UACGUAGGGGGCUAGCGUUGUCCGGAAUCAUUGGGCGUAAAGAGCGCGUAGGCGGCCAGAUAAGUCCGGUGUGAAAGUCAAAGGCUCAACCUUUGAAUGCCGCUGGAAACUGUCUGGCUAGAGUCCGGGAGGGGCGAGUGGAAUUCCUGGUGUAGCGGUGAAAUGCGCAGAUAUCAGGAGGAACACCAAUGGCGAAGGCAGCUCGCUGGAACGGUACUGACGCUGAGGCGCGAAAGCUAGGGGAGCAAACAGG
rnacentral:rRNA from 1 species